rnacentral:rRNA from 1 species
ACGGAAGGCAGCAGUGGGGAAUAUUGGACAAUGGGGGAAACCCUGAUCCAGCGACGCCGCGUGAGUGAGGAAGUAUUUCGGUAUGUAAAGCUCUAUCAGCAGGGAAGAAAAUGACGGUACCUGACUAAGAAGCCCCGGCUAACUACGUGCCAGCAGCCGCGGUAAUACGUAGGGGGCAAGCGUUAUCCGGAUUUACUGGGUGUAAAGGGAGCGCAGACGGCGAUGUAAGUCUGAAGUGAAAGCCCGCGGCUCAACUGCGGGACUGCUUUGGAAACUAUAUUGCUUGAGUGUCGGAGGGGCAAGCGGAAUUCCAUGUGUAGCGGUGAAAUGCGUAGAUAUAUGGAAGAACACCGGUGGCGAAGGCGGCUUGCUGGACGAUAACUGACGUUGAGGCUCGAAGGCGUGGGGAGCAAACAGGAUUAGAUACCCUGGUA